rnacentral:rRNA from 1 species
AUUGAACGCUGGCGGAAUGCUUUACACAUGCAAGUCGAACGGUAGAGGGGGCAACCCCUCGAGAGUGGCGAACGGGUGAGUAAUAUAUCGGAACGUGCCCAGUCGUGGGGGAUAACGUAGCGAAAGUUACGCUAAUACCGCAUACGAUCUAAGGAUGAAAGCGGGGGAUCGCAAGACCUCGCGCGAUUGGAGCGGCCGAUAUCAGAUUAGGUAGUUGGUGGGGUAAAGGCUCACCAAGCCAACGAUCUGUAGGUGGUCUGAGAGGACGACCAGCCACACUGGAACUGAGACACGGUCCAGACUCCUACGGGAGGCAGCAGUGGGGAAUUUUGGAAAAUGGACGCAAGUCUGAUCCAGCCAUUCCGCGUGCAGGAUGAAGGCCCUCGGGUUGUAAACUGCUUUUGUACGGAACGAAAAGGUCUCUCUUAAUACGGGGGACUCAUGACGGUACCGUAAGAAUAAGCACCGGCUAACUACAUGCCAGCCGCCGCGGUAA